AUGACAAUGCUUUCUUGGAUUCACCCAUUUAGCAUAAGUCAGCCUCUUUCUGCAGCAAAGCACAUGGCAGCAUUUAAAAGGCAGCUACACGAAGACUUGUUCCAUAUUUUUAAAGGAACAUUGCAUAGUUUAAUCACAUUCUUUACUGUGAACUUACAGAGGUGAGUGCUUCUCAUGUUGUAUCUAAACAUUCUCUUUUCCAAAGCGAAUGUGCACCAGCUAGCCACAGUCACAGGUAAAAGUGCCUGGGAGAUCUUGAGAAAUUAUCAUUAUUAACAAGGAAUCAAUUCAAUUGUGUUUAGCUAUCGAGAAUACAAACAUCCUUCUGUGAUACAAACUAAAAUUUUUGUUUUGGCAUAAAGCAAAGCCUAGAUUUAUUCCAGAUUAAUAUAUAUAUUAGAUUUUUAAUGUAUGUUAAAUUGUGUUAAUAUGCUCACAUAUUUUCUAAUGUUGAUUUCUGGAGAAAAUACUGCAAAGUAGGCUUAUAAAAUAGCGUGUACAACCCAAGAAGUGUUUGGAUUUGUAUAUAUAUGUAUUCAUAUAUGUUGUGCAUGUUCAUAUGUAGGCUUUCAGUUCUUAGCCUUUGAGAUGAACUAAUUCAGUCUGAAGUGUUUGAAAUCUGAAAACAAUGUUUUGAUGGUCAGAACAACAAAAGGGGGAGGUGUUAAAUAUGGCCUAUUAGCAUUUUAUGGACAAAAAGAAAUUCAGAAUUCUCAUGAGAUCAAUAGAGAGAGGGGAAAAAAUACAGUACACAUGUAAAUUAACAACCAGCAAUCCUCGUACCUAAGGAAAUAUCCGCAGGACAUCUUAAAUCAUCUAGAAUUUGGGUAUACUCAUUAACCCAUGGGAGUUAACCAUCUGGCAAGUAAAAUACAGUGCCCUAACUAGUGUUGUUGUGUUGUUGUUUUAUAAAUCAGGCUAAAUCUAACAAUAUUGCUUGCUGAAUGGAAAGUGUGCAGUCAUUAACAUCAUGUCCAUAGUCAGAUCACAACACACAAAAAUUAUUUCUAGCAAAAACAAACAAGUCAUCCUCAAAGCAUUACUACUGUGUCCAUAGCUUUGCUAGAUGUGCUACAAUAACUUUGUGUAUAAAUACAUUCCUGUAAAGAGUUCCACUUUUGAAAAGUAAUAACGUUUACCAGCACACAUGCACAGUGUUUUUUUUUAAUCUGAUAUCAUGAAAUAUAACAAAUAUAAAGCAAAUGAAAAUGAAAUCCAUACAGUGCUUUUCCUUUCUAGAUUAUAUUUUGACUGAAAAUCGAUCAUAUAGUAAAUACACUUAAAUUAACUCAUGUGAAUGUUAUGCAGACCUGGGAACACAGAAAUGGUUAUUUAUUAAAUUUUACUGUAAUUUUUUGUUCUUUAUUAAUAAAGAGUUGUUCUUUAUUUAUUUGGACUUUGUC
rnacentral:lncRNA from 1 species